ACAAUUUGAGGAUGAGAAUGACAAGGCCACCUCUCAAUUUCUAUCUAAUUGUUUACUUUACUCUGUUUCUCGCUGAUAGUAAAUAUCAUCGGAUACUAUUUGUAUGUUUCUCUUUCACCCACUGAAUUAUGAUUUUCUUCGCUCUCUCCCAUUAAAACACUCUAAAAUAUCCCUCUGCUCCUCUCCCACUCAGUAGGAUAACCAGUGAACUGAAACAACACUCUUCUUAGGCGGCGAACUUGGUUCUCUUUCGCUACUGCUAGAUGCCUACCGAUAAAAAAACCAUUGCGCCAAGUUGGCUCUUCCAGAAGAGGAAGCGACAGUAUUCAGCAGAAAGAGCUUCUAAAAUCAAGCUCUGGAGACAUGAUGUGUAUGCAAAUCAGUCAGCUGAUAAAUAGUUUUAUUUGAAAGCAAUCGCAAGUCGCAACCAGUCUAAUGUUUCUAUUAUAGUAUAAUUUGAUAUUUGGAAGUUACCAAUGGAUUUAUAAUGCCAUAUUCCUCUCAACCUC